GAAAUACGCCCUCCGUCUCAAAUUACUUGGCUUAAAAAAGAAUAACAAUGGAUGUAUCUAGAAAUAAAAUACAUCAAGAUACAUCGAAUUCUGUGACAAGUAAUUCCGGACGGAGGAUGUAGGAG
rfam:Triticum aestivum genome assembly, contig: Triticum_aestivum_CS42_TGACv1_scaffold_640891_T_7BL-0.205496_1AL-0.106143